rnacentral:lncRNA from 1 species
ACAACCAUAGCGACUCCUCCUCCUCCUCUAGAGUAUUUGUAUUUAACAACCACACACAAAACAAAGAAACACAAAUGCUGAACCCCCUCCCUCCCCCCUUUAACUCAUUUUGUUGUAGGGUGAAGUGCCUUGGCACAGGAUUUUCAGCUUCGGGGAAUGAUACUGAAAGGUCUUCAUUUAAGAUAUGGAUCAGGAAUACCAUUCAGCACAAUUGUUUUCUGGGAGCAGCGCCAAAAGGUUUCCACUCCUUUGCUUCCUGGGAUCAAUGAUGGGCAUGCCAUCUGGUCAAUCUCCUCUGCACUACAUUCAGUGGGGCUUCCAGGUUAGUCUGCAACACCCCCAGUGAGCCCCAGUCAAGUGUGAGUGACUGAAGCAGUGUAUAAUUUCUAUUCAUGAAUUCUAGAAGGGAAAACUAAUCCUUUUCCAGGACUGAGAUCCAAAAGGCUUUGGAAGAUGGAUCUAAAUACUGUCACACUUCAUGGUAUUUGAAUCAGUUGUUCUAAUGUGGGAUCAUCUCUAAUUUGCAGUAUUCCAAACUGCAAAGCUAAAUGUAUGGUAGCAUUUUUAAUAAACUUAAAUAAAUCAAGACA